AGAGAGAGAGAGGUCAGUCCCUGAACUCUCAUUUUGGAGAUGUUAUAUUAAUUGUUCUUUAGAUAUGUGCUAUCCAUUCCAUUAUCACCUUCUCCCUUCUUUUUGCCCACUGCGUGGGCUACUUUUGCUGGUAGGAUCAAUUAAAAAGCUUCAACUCUCGCUUGUAUAUUGUUUAUUUUACUCUUAUGUGAUCUUAAUCAUGAAAGUUCUGUUAUCAUUAAGGCAAAAGUAGCCCACGCAGUGGGCAAAAA
rnacentral:misc_RNA from 1 species